GCUUCUUGCAUCUGUGCUAAACAAUUAAAACAUUCACACUAAAUACUUUCUGAAGUCUUGAAAAAUUAAACAUGAGAUAGCAAAACAAAGGCUGCUUCUAGCACAGAUGGGAUAAGAACCAUUUUAAUGACAAUUUAAGUUUGUAAUAAUUUUUAAUAAAUGUCUGUUAUAUUGGAAAUAAUCAAUCUGACUUGAGUACAAGAGGAAAAAGUUACAUGACUGAUAUCAUAUUCAUGAGUUGUGGUUGCCUCAUUCAUGGAAUUGUUCAAGGCCAGGUUGGAGGGGCUUGGAGCAACCUGGGAUUGUGGAAGGUGUCCCUGCCCAUGGCAGAGGGUGAAAUCAGGAGGUCUUUAUGUUCCCUUCCAAUCCAGAACAUUCUGUGAAUCUGUGAUAGCCUAUUUCUUCUUUUCUUCUAAACCUUAGAUAUAAAAUGUUAGGAGUUGAUAGACAUGCAUAAAGCACCUGGGGGUUUUGUCCUACCAUGGUUGUUUUAGGGCCUGGAGGGAUUUUUACAGCGUGACCCUGGUUAGAAGCAAAGGGUUCUGUGAGCAGCAAAGCUCCUGACACCCAGCCUCUCACAAGGGGUUUUUUACAGACAACAACCUUGGCUUGCUGUACUCUGCCUUCAGAUGAUGCCUUGGAGUGGCCACCUAGAACAAGGUUGAGAGAAUCAAGUGGGUAUUUAUUAAAGGCCUUCCAUGGACACACCUUGGGCAGUCAGAGGCUACACCAAGGCUGGACAAUGGUCAUGAGUUUUCAGACAAUUACAAGUUUGGUUCAUUUACAUAUCAUGGUUACAGCUUCAGCUGGAUAGAGAACACACGUAUUGCCAUGAAAAUUAGAUUAAUACUAAUAACAAUCUACACAACACGGUUCCCAAGACAGAGGGCAAAACAAAGAAAAGUCAUGGUUGGAAGGGACCUGUGGAGGUCAUCCAGUCCAAGACAGGGUCACCCAGAGCAGGUGACACAGGAACAUGUCCAGUUUAUGGACACUGCUCCUCAUCCUGACACUGGCACCACUGAGCAGAGCCUGGCACCAUCCUCUGGCACCCCUUGGAGAUAUUGGACAAUGGAAGUUUUAAAAGUUUUUGAGGAACCAACCUAACAAAGAAUUUAGACCAUCUGAUCAGAAGAAAAUCUCGAAGUUGUAAAGGACAGACGUGAUUUUGCAUUUGGCUUUUUGUUUUCCAUCUGUAACAUCAAGAGUCGUGCUGAGGAGGAGGACCCGUGGUUUUUUUCUCAAAGAAAACCAUUGCCUGUAGAAGAUCUCCCCAGUUCAGAGGAAUUUCAACACAAUGAGAAGCUGUGGUCACAGAAGAACUUCAUCUUUGAGGAUCUCAUGCCAUUUUUAUCACUUGACUGAGAAGAAGCUGGAUCCACAGAUAAGGUCAGAUCUCUGGUCAGCAGCAUUUUGAUGUAGGGCCCCCUUCUGUGUGUGCAGCCAGAAAUUUCUGUCCUGGUUGAGUGCAAAGCCGAGCUGUGUUUUCCUCGGGGCACUGCCCAUUGGAGUAAUCCUGAUUGUACCAAAUAAACACAGGAAUGCACUGUCCAUGAUGCCUCAUUAGUAGAGUGUCACACAGCUGAAGGAUUAAAUAGAAAGUCAAUAUUUAGCAUAAACAAAUAAGAAAACUUUAUUUAAUAUUUUUUCUCAGUUAGCCAGAUAACUCUGGAGGGAAGGAUAUGAUCACAAGAAGAUUUUUCUUUCAUCUCCAGAGUUUAACUUUCCAUCUGAGCAAGGGGAGCCUUUUACAGACUGGUUGCUUUCAACAGUUAUCAAAAGGAUUGUUUGUUUAAGGAGAAGACUUAUGUUUGUGUUCAAGGGCAAUAAGGAAAAAGGAAUUAAAUAUAUAUUGGGGGAGAAAUAAGAGUCUCUGCAGUGGUUUUCCUGAAAGGAAGAUUUGCAAGUGCACACAAAAGGGAUAGUAAAGAAAGGAGAGAUAUUGACAAGAAAGGAAAUGAAAAUGAAUUAAAAGUGUCAAUAUUUCCCUUGAGUAAUUAAAUAAGAGCAUUCUCAUGCCUGACCCAUUUUGGGGGGAGGGAGAUUGUAGUUCACUGCAGUGCUAUAAACUACAGAAAGCCAAGUUAGCCUCCAGUUCCAUGGAUUCAGUGACAGACUGGGCUUGGGGCAUGUGCUGACCUGUUCCAGCCUGCCUCCUGCAAGCUGUCAGCCAGAGCCUCAAUAAGAGCCAGACAAAAAUAAAUAGCAAGUUUUUAUAAUGUUUCUCUUUUAAUCUGGGUCAGGCUCAGGAUCCAGUUACCACUGCUGCUCCAUUGACAUCUAAUGGUGAAAAUGGAGUCAGAAUGAAGAGGCAGAAAGUCAAUAAUGCCUUUAAAACCCAAAUGGUUUGGCUUUCUAUUUUAGAUAUGUAAAAAAGGCAUCUUUUAGCAGGUAAAGCUUUAGUUCAGAUGGAAUGUGGCACUGAGUGUGUGGGGCACAUCUUGCCCACAGUUUGCACCUCAGGUCUCAGUGGAUUCCAGUUUAUUUUGUUUACCCCUGGGUCGAAGAGGGAUGCUGGGACUAGGAGUGUUCACAGAUCAGUUUACUGAUGUGCUCGUGUAAUCCUUGCAGACUGUAAGAAAACAAUUUAAAAGCAAGGUUGUUUGUGUUACACUGAUGUAGAUGAGGUUUAUCUUUGUAAUCCUACAACUCGAUUAUUUGCAUGCCAGCAAAUGUCUUUUUUCUUGUUUCUGUAAAUUAUGAAAAGUGUUAACAUCAGUCACUUCUGCUCCUGGAAAAUCUUCUCAGAUUUGCAAUUCUGUUGUGUAAAUUAAUAGCUCAGUUCACUAGAGAAAAUUAUUGCAAAUGUAUUUUGGCAUCAUAUAGAAGUAGACAACUUGUAAGGUAAUAUAUUUUCUUCUAGCAAAUACGUGUCAAAUUAGCUGAACAGGUUUUAACAAGCAUGUCCUCAUUCCUUCAGCAACUGAGAAUAUACUUGCUAGAUUCUCAAAGCAAAUUAGGCACUCAGCUCCCUUUAAGAACAGAAAUAGGUAAUAAAAGUGAUUCUGCUCUUCAAGGCUUGAAUGAAUUUGAAAAUUCCAUUGAGUUCUUAAAAAAAAUCAACCAAACAAAACAUUUUAAUUGCUUCUGUAUGUGCUUACUACCUAUGUCUUGCAAGUUUUUCAAAAUCAAACAUUCAUUUUUUCUCCUGUGGUCUUUAAAGAUCAGAACUUUUGCCGCAAAAGACACUUUCUUGUAUAAAGAACUGUUAAUUACAUUGCUGUGGCGACACCUUAACCUGCUGUGCUGAGGUUGGCAUCAUUUAAGGUUAUGGAAAUUUACAGUUCAGCUGCACUGGGUUGAUUUUCAAGUAUGUGUUUAACUCUACAUUUGUGAAAUGUCAUUUUCCUUCCCUGCUCCUCAUGGCAGAGGUAAAUUACUCGCUCAGAGAUGAGCACUUCAACAACAGGAGAAGCUCUGCAGCAGCAUCAGGAAGUGUGAGAGUUGUUCUGAUACCGACCCUGAGCAGGGCAGGAGGGGAAAAGGGAGCACUGUGCUUUUACAAGGUUGCUGUGUGCUCUUCCAUCAGCUAAUCACGAGGCCAGCAGCACUCCAGGGUGGGAUUCUAGCAGGAUUUGCAGAAUGAUGUCCAACAGCAAGAAAGAUUCAGGAAAUCCUUAGAAAAACCAAGGUAACACCAGUUCCUUGAGAACCUGAGGAGAUGCAUUCACAGUGAAAGAGGCACAACUGACUGCUCUGUGCUAAGAAUUAGACUGGAACAGAAGAAGCUUUCUGAUCUGUUUGCUGAAAACUUACUGAGUCAAAGAUUAAAAGGCAUGCAAAAAUAUUUUCAUGAUAUUUUGGAAGUAUAAACUAAACUCAGGAAAGAAAAAUGCAGUUGUGGCUUCACUGGAGUUUGAGUGGCCCCUUUGCUCAAUUCAUGCACAGCCCUGUGAGCUGAGCUGUCCCAGCUCACAUUGAUCCCAGAGAUGUCAAUGCCACCCAAACCUCAGCUGGAGAUUCCAGAAUGUCACACAAAUCUCAACUGGUGAUUCCAGAGAUAUCAAUGCCACCCUAAUCUCAAUUGGGUGACAAAAACACUUUUAAAAAAUAUUCAAGACAUACUCAUCCAGUCAUCCUUGCACAUUUUGGACCUUCUCCAUUAUAUAGAGUAGUACUAGAUGUUCUGUUGAAAACAUGGGUAAGAAAAGGACACCAGAGUACAGUAUUGUCAGUUUAUGCCACAUAAAGGUUAAAGUAGUAAUAUUUCUUCUUUUUAUUUCAUAUUUCUUGAGAAACAUCAACUCACAGGAUUGCACACUUCAAAAUAAUUGGCCAGUGUGAGCUGACAGAUCUGAUCAGAGCAGAAGGGUCGUUACCAGAUGCAAUGAGCCUGAUCUUCUGUCUGAAAACAAAGAUUGCAGAGGACUUGCAAGGACAAAGGAAAAGAAGUAACUUCCUCAUCUCCGUGGAUAUUUUCUGACGGAAGAGGUUAAAAAAAAAAGCACAGCAGGCAGUACAAACCUACAGUUCAAUGAAGUGUUCAAUUAUUUUGUGCCCAUGGAAUUUUCUAAUAGAUUAAAAGUACCGGAAUCUGAUUCCAUUGCCUGUCCUCAACAUUUUGGAAAAUCCUGAAGAGAACACAGAGGCCAGUUCAAGACCAUCAAUUUGAUUGGAUUGGUCGCGUAUGAUGGAAUGGGAGAUACCAAACAGAGCAGAAGAUUGCUUCCACUUUUUUUGGUCGCUGUCUCCUGGCCACUGAGACCCCCAGUAAAUAUCAAAAGUGCUAAAGAGUGUCAGUACAGAAGUCUGGCUACACCCAGUGUGAAUCCAAAGCACCUCAAUGUGGGCAUGGGUUUCCUUUAAAUGCUGUUGGAAACAGUCUGGCACAUGGAGAGCAGGAUCCAGGGCUGAUGUCAAGUGUUGGUCUGGAAAUGAAGCUGCCAAAAACCACAGGACCAAGGAACUCUUGAACCCAUCUUCAUGAUUUCAGAAACCAUGCAUGGCCAAGUUUUAAAAAAAAUCACCAUGACUUGAGAGGGAAUCUAGCUGGAAAAGAGCCAAGCAGAAAAUAAAUUUGGAAAUCAAGGGCACAGUUUUCCAGGUUUUCUUCAUGCACAAUACUCCAGGAAUGGAUCCCAGAGUACUGCAAAAAUUCCAGAGGUUCAGCAGCCAGAUGUGGAUCUGCACCCAUUCCUCUGCAGCAUUUCUGCUGGUGCCUCUGAUGUUUAACCCUUUGCAGAAUAAAGUUCUAUGACAGGACACCAAGAAGCAUUGAUUGUCUCAUCAGUGUUCUUUUCUCUGGAAAGAGAACAAUUGAAUGGCUCUCAAUUGUUGUGGAGCUGAGUGAGUCCUGUUGAGGCCCCUGAGCUUGGUGGGGAUUUCUUUCUGUUCCUGCAGCACCAGGAACUAUCCAGAAUAUUGCUGCAUUCCCAACUUCAUCUUGGCAUCACCAGGAAUAAACAGACAACCCUCAGGAAAUGUGUCUGAUUGUUUUCAUCUUCAGGUCACCCUCUCAGAGCUGUGUGCUCUGCAUCUGAGAAAAAAAAAAUCUCCCAUUUGCACCGUUCAGAGUAGUGGGAGUUUGGAGAAAGAGUUGAAAUCUGGAGGCUGAGAACAUCCAGGAACUUUGGGAUGGAUUGACUGCAGUUGAAUUGUUGAAUUGUUGAAUUAUUUCAGCCACAAGGGGAGAACGUUUGUUGCCUCACGUAUGCCAAGAUCAGGUUCUGGGCUUGAGGGAUGCAGCCUCCUGCUGCUAUUGCCACUUCAGAGAAUACUGCUAUCUGCUGGAGAAAAAAAACAAACCCAACAUCUUGGGCUCACCAAGGUGACACUGGUUCAGCUGUUCUACCUGGGGCAGUGGAUUUGACAGGAAAGAUGUUUAACAUUCAGU